rnacentral:rRNA from 1 species
UACAGGGGGUGCAAACGUUGCUCGGAAUCAUUGGGCGUAAAGCGCACGUAGGCGGUCUGUUAUGUCGGAUGUGAAGGCCCUUGGCUUAACUGAGGAAGUGCAUCCGAAACUGGCAGGCUAGAGUACUAAAGAGGGUCGCGGAAUUCCCGGUGUAGAGGUGAAAUUCGUAGAUAUCGGGAGGAACACCGGUGGCGAAGGCGGCGACCUGGGUAGAUACUGACGCUGAGGUGCGAAAGCGUGGGGAGCGAACAGG